rnacentral:tRNA from 1 species
GGGGUUAUGGCUCAAUGGUAGAGCACUCACCUCAUACAUGUGAGGCCCUGGGUUCAAUUCCUCAGCACCA